UACAGAGGGUGCGAGCGUUGUUCGGAAUCACUGGGCAUAAAGGGCGCGUAGGCGGCUUUCUAAGUCAGGGGUGAAAUCCGGCAGCUCAACUGUCGCAGUGCCUUUGAUACUGGAGAGCUCGAGGGAGGUAGGGGUCUGUGGAACUUCCGGUGGAGCGGUGAAAUGCGUUGAUAUCGGAAGGAACGCCGGUGGCGAAAGCGACGGACUGGAUCUCUUCUGACGCUGAGGCGCGAAAGCCAGGGGAGCAAACGGG
rnacentral:rRNA from 1 species